rnacentral:tRNA from 1 species
ACCUGGGUGGCUCAGCGGUUGAGCAUCUGCCUUUGGCUCAGGUUGUGAUCCCAGGGUCCUGGGAUCAAGUCCCACCUCAGGCU